rnacentral:rRNA from 1 species
AACGAACGCUGGCGGCAGGCUUAACACAUGCAAGUCGAACGCGUGUAGCAAUACACGAGUGGCGCACGGGUGAGUAACGCGUGGAUAUCUGCCUUUUGGUUCGGAAUAACUCCGGGAAACUGGAGCUAAUCCCGGAUGGUUCCUUCGGGAUAAAGAUUUAUCGCCAAAAGAUGAGUCCGCGUACGAUUAGCCAGUUGGUGAGGUAAAGGCUCACCAAGGCGACGAUCGGUAGCUGGUCUGAGAGGACGAUCAGCCACCCUGGGACGGAGACACGGCCCAGACUCCUACGGGAGGCAGCAGUGGGGAAUAUUGGACAAUGGGGGCAACCCUGAUCCAGCCAUGCCGCGUGAGUGAUGAAGGCCUUCGGGUUGUAAAGCUCUUUUGGCGGGGACGAUGAUGACGGUACCCGCAGAAUAAGCCCCGGCUAACUUCGUGCCAGCAGCCGCGGUAA